UACGAAGGGGGCUAGCGUUGCUCGGAAUCACUGGGCGUAAAGCGCACGUAGGCGGAUUGUUAAGUCAGGGGUGAAAUCCUGGAGCUCAACUCCAGAACUGCCUUUGAUACUGGCGAUCUCGAGUCCGGGAGAGGUGAGUGGAACUGCGAGUGUAGAGGUGAAAUUCGUAGAUAUUCGCAAGAACACCAGUGGCGAAGGCGGACUCACUGGCC
rnacentral:rRNA from 1 species